AUGUCCAUGGCCGCCGCAGCAGCAGCGAUCGUGGCGGUGCUCGUGGCCGCGUUAAUGGCACGAGCGUUGUCGGCGGCGUCGGCAGCAGGAAGAGUCUGGGUCGACGAGGAGAAGGGAGCACAUAACGGCACGGCGAGAAGACAGGUCACGUACGACGGCAGAAGCCUGAUGCUGGACGGCGCCAGGAGGAUGCUCUUCUCCGGCGACAUACAUUACCCAAGGAGCACGCCUGAGAUGUGGCCGAGACUCAUAGAGAGCGCCAGGGAAGGUGGCCUGGAUGUCAUACAGACAUACGUCUUCUGGAAUGUCCAUGAGCCUAUACAGGGUCAGUACAACUUCGAAGGAAGAUACGAUCUUGUGAAGUUCAUCAGAGAAAUCCAUGCCCAAGGCCUCUAUGUGAGCCUCCGUGUCGGCCCCUUCGUCGAGGCAGAAUGGAAAUACGGAGGCUUGCCAUUUUGGUUGCGUGGUGUCCCAAACAUUACCUUCAGAUGCAACAAUGAACCCUACAAGGUACAUAUGCAAAAAUUUGUUGCUAAAAUUGUUAACAUGAUGAAGGAUGAAAAAUUAUACUAUCCACAAGGAGGUCCCAUAAUCAUAUCACAGAUUGAGAACGAAUAUAAGCUAGUCGAGGCAGCAUUUCGUUCAAGGGGACCACCUUAUGUUCGCUGGGCAGCGGCAAUGGCUGUAAACCUCCAGACAGGCAUUCCAUGGAUGAUGUGCAAACAGGACGAUGCUCCAGAUCCAAUCAUUAAUACAUGCAACGGGCUCAUCUGCGGGGAAACAUUUCAUGGGCCAAAUUCGCAUAACAAGCCAGCUUUAUGGACCGAAAACUGGACAUCUCGCUAUCCUUUAUAUGGUCAUGACCCAAGAUUCAGAUCACCAGCAGAUAUUGCCUUCGCAGUUGCACUUUUUAUAGCAAGAAAAAAAGGAAGCUUUGUAAGCUACUAUAUGUAUCAUGGCGGGACAAACUUUGGGAGGUUUGCAUCCUCCUAUGUAACAACAAGCUACUAUGAUGGAGCUCCACUUGAUGAAUAUGGUUUAAUAUGGCAAUCGACAUGGUCUCAUCUCAGAGAAUUGCAUGCUGCAAUCAAGCAAUCUGAAGAACCACUACUUUCAGGAGCAUAUUCUAAUUACUCAUUUGGUGAGCAACAAGAGGGGCAUGUUUUUAAAACCGAGUCCAACUGUGUGGCUUUCCUAGUGAACUUGGACAAGCAUAAAGCAUCAAAUAUCCAAUUUGGUGAAGCAUCAUUCCAGCUAGCUCCUAAAUCAAUAAGUAUCCUCUCAAGUUGCAGGAGGGUAGUAUUUGAAACAGCCAAGAUAAAUGCACAGCAUGGUUUAAGAACAGCACAAGCAGUCCAGUCUCUGAACAAUGUUGAUAGCUGGAAAGUAUUCAAAGAACCGAUUCCUCUGGCGAUAAACAACAGUACACACAUUGGAAAUCGAUUUUUUGAACAUCUCUCAACUACAAAAGAUGAGACAGAUUAUCUCUGGUACCUUACUAGAUAUGAUUAUAGAUCAAGUGGGAAUAGCCAGCUAGUGCUUAAUGUGGAGUCACAAGCCCAUGUUUUACAUGCUUACAUCAACAAUGAUUAUGCAGGUACUGUGCAUGGGAGUCACGAUGGACCUAGAAAUAUUGUUCUCAAGACACCUAUUACACUAAGGGAAGGACAAAACUCCAUUUCACUGCUUAGUGUCAUGGUUGGAUCACCGGACUCGGGGGCAUACAUGGAGCGAAGAAUCUUCGGAGUUCGUAAAGUGAGCAUACAACAAGGACACCACAAAUCACGUUCUCUGAAUAAUGAGCUGUGGAAACACCAAAUUGGCUUAUCUGGAGAAAUGAACCAUAUAUACACGCGGGAAGGAUCAUCUCGUGCUCAAUGGACUGCCAUCAAUAAGUCCAUGCACCUUCCACUUAUCUGGUACAAGACGACAUUUGACACACCAUGGGGGAAUGACCCAGUCACGCUGAACCUCAGUAGUAUGGGCAAGGGUGAGGUGUGGGUCAAUGGAGAGAGCAUCGGACGGUAUUGGGCCUCCUUCAAAACCCCUAGCGGACAGCCAUCCCAGUCCUUGUACCACAUACCACAAUACUUUAUGAAGCCUAGAGAGAACACCCUCGUCCUCAUGGAGGAAAUUGGUGGUGAUCCGCUACAGAUAACUGUGAACACAGUUUCAGUUACCAGAGUAUACAGUAGUGUGAAUGAGUUAUCUACCCCGUCACUGUUGUCACGCAGAAAGCACCCAGCAGUUCGACUCCGGUGUCAGCAAGGCAAACGCAUCACGGAUAUUGAGUUUGCGAGCUACGGAAAUCCGGUCGAGGACUGCAGAAGCUCCAGCAGGAGCUGCCUCGGGAGUUGCCACGCAGAGACGACGGAGUUUGUCGUAAAGGAUGCUUGCCUAGGCAGAAGGAAGUGCGCAAUUCCGGUACGGCCUGCCAAGUUUGGAGGCGACCCGUGCCCUGGGAUCGAAAAAACACUUUCAGUUGUGGCAAGCUGCGGAUGA
rnacentral:rRNA from 1 species